GCUGGCGGCGUGCUUAACACAUGCAAGUCGAACGCGAACGUUUCCUUCGGGAAACUAGUAGAGUGGCGCACGGGUGAGUAACGCGUAAGUAAUCUACCCUCGCAUUUGGGAUAACCCACCGAAAGGUGUGCUAAUACCAGAUACGUCUAUUUUAAUACCUUUGUUAUAGAGAAAGGUGGCCUCUUCAUGAAAGCUACUGUGCGGGGAGGAGCUUGCGUACCAUUAGCUGGUUGGUAGGGUAACGGCCUACCAAGGCAACGAUGGUUAGCGGGUCUGAGAGGAUGAUCCGCCACACUGGAACUGGAACACGGACCAGACUCCUACGGGAGGCAGCAGUGAGGAAUAUUGCGCAAUGGGGGCAACCCUGACGCAGCGACGCCGCGUGGAUGAUGAAGGCCUUCGGGUUGUAAAAUCCUGUCAGAUGGGAAGAAGUGUGUAUCAGUUAAUACCUGUUACAUUUGACGGUACCAUCAAAGGAAGCACCGGCUAACUCCGUGCCAGCAGCCGCGGUAAUACGGAGGGUGCAAGCGUUGUUCGGAAUUACUGGGCGUAAAGCGCGCGUAGGCGGCUAUGUAAGUCCCAUGUGAAAGUCCAUGGCUCAACCAUGGAAGUGCAUGUGAAACUGCAUA
rnacentral:rRNA from 1 species